GGGGAUAUUGCACAAUGGGGGGAACCCUGAUGCAGCGACGCCGCGUGGGUGAAGGAGCGUUUCGGCGCGUAAAGCCCUAUCGGCAGGGAAGAAGGAGGACGGUACCUGACUAAGAAGCCCCGGCUAACUACGUGCCAGCAGCCGCGGUAAUACGUAGGGAGCAAGCGUUAUCCGGAAUUAUUGGGUGUAAAGGGUGCGUAGACGGGAUAACAAGUUAGUUGUGAAACCCCUCGGCUCAACUGAGGAACUGCAACUAAAACUAUUAUUCUUGAGUGCAGGAGAGGAAAGUGGAAUUCCUAGUGUAGCGGUGAAAUGCGUAGAUAUUAGGAAGAACACCGGUGGCGAAGGCGACUUUCUGGACUGUAACUGACGUUGAGGCACGAAAGUGUGGGGAGCAAACAGG
rnacentral:rRNA from 1 species